rnacentral:tRNA from 1 species
AGCCUGUUAGCUCAACUGGUAGAGUAUUGUGGUGUGCAAAUACACAAAAAUGUGGGUUCGACUCCCACACAGGCUC